GUACCCUAGGUAUUGAACUUGUAUUUGGAAAACUUCAUCAGCUUAUUGAUUUAGCUUGAAAUCAGAUUAUCCUUGGCCCUUCGUUUAAACAAGCAUAUCGAAUGGUGUUUCGCAUUCGUUGGCUGCUGCAAUUGAUGCUAAUUAAAUUUGCAUUGGAAAUUGUUGGUUUAUUUCUGUAAAUUGCAACCGGGAUGCGCAUUAAAUAUUUGAUUCCAGGUCAUCGAGUGUUGCCCACAUCGAGGGUCCUUGCUAAAAGGAUCCCCUUCUUCCCGCAUCCUUCGGCCGUUAUCCUCCAGCACAUGUCGGUCACCUCCUGCGGGCUCCUUUGCCUCCUUUGCCCCUUCUGCGCGUCCUGUGGAUUUCCCCGCCCUUUUUUCCGAUCUCCAUCAAGUGGAAAACUUGGCAGCAAUUGGCGACCGGCAGUUGAAGUACAACUAACCCCUUCCUCGAAAAAAGAUAGUUAAACUUUGCUUGGCUGUGCUAUGGACAUAUUUCGGAUGCUUCCAGUUGGUAUUUACAUUUGCCCAACUAUUUCAUUGUUUGUCCAUUUUGCAGGAUGAAUGUGCUUUGAUUUCGAUUCCAUUGCACACAGGUGCGCACGAGGACAGUUCGGUUCAGUAAAUGCUAUUUGAUCAAGGCGGCCAGUUGUAGUUAUCCUGUAGUUUGGUCCUUGCAUUUAGAAAAACAGGAUUUAUAUUGCAUUUAAAAAUAAACAAAAAAACGAAAACAGAAAAAGUAUGAAGAAGUUAU